UAAAUACUAAUAGGCUAACGAUGCUUAUGACACGAUGCUAUUGCGGUUUCCAUUUCGAAUGACAUACUCGUAUUACGAAUAAUAUUUAGACGUGAUGUGUGAGAGAGAGCAAAUUUGCAUUCCGAUAAUAGUCAAUUAGAACAUUCCGUUUAUUAUCUCACUUGUUUUUGUCCUCGAAAUUAAACUCCACCCUCCAGAACGCGUUUUCAUGCUGAAUGUUCCGUCUAGAUGUACAAGUCUACGCUUACGAUGGAGGAAAACUGCAAUAUUAUCUCACGCGGGAGACAAACAGAAAAAACAAUACUCUUGAUGUAGAAGCUAAGUAGCUCUUAAAACAUAAAAUGCUAUACCGUAAUUUUACAAUAUUUAUUCGUACCGACCAUGUAAUCCUACUAGAUACACAGAACAGAAACAGUCGUUUCUCUCCCCGGCGGACGAUGUGCGUAAUUUAACGAACUUGAAAAUAACGUUAUAUCCAACUUUAUAAGUUAACCUAAUUAUUAUAAUGUGAUGAGAAACUCCGUUCCCGUGCACAUCUCGCACCCCGGAGACUAAUUUUCGACCAGGGGCGGUAUUGUUUAUAAUAACAUACGAUAUGUGAUGUGUGUAGUCAUAUAUUUUAUCGCGCGCGUUCCGUCGUAGUGCGGUUAUCUGCAGCGAAAUAUCAACAACGAUUUUGUUCCACCUCGCGACUUUGCGACGCGAU